rnacentral:rRNA from 1 species
UCGGACUGGAGUCUGCAACCCGACUCCACGAAGUUGGAUUCGCUAGUAAUCGCGCAUCAGCCAUGGCGCGGUGAAUACGUUCCCGGGCCUUGUACACACCGCCCGUCAAGCCAUGGGAGCCGGGGCGCCUGAAGUCCGGGACCGCGAGGACCGGCCUAGGGCGAAACUGGUAACUGGGGCUAAGUCGUAACAAGGUAAC